AACGCAACUUGCGCUCCUUGGUACUCUGAGGAGCAUGCCUGUUUGAGUGUCAUUAAACUUCUUCUCAACCCAUCCAGUUUCUCUGUGUGUGGGCUUUGGACAAUGGGGGCUUGCUGGUUGCUAUUUUUCCAGCUCUCCUGAAAAGCAUUAGCGGCAUCUGGGCUGCUUGCAGGUGUGAUAACUCGUCUACACCUUUGCAGUGGCUGCAUUUGUGCUGCUUUAGAGGGCAUUGAUGAAAUUUGACCUCAAAUCAGGUAGGACUACCCGCUGAACUUAA
rnacentral:misc_RNA from 1 species